AGAUAACUUAAGCCCAUAUUUGCAAGAAGAUGUGGAAAAAAAAAUCGCUUUCCUAAUGACAGUAAUCUUUGGCAAUGUUACAUAUCACAGGAGGGGAGAUCAGUCGGUCUCUGAGCAUCACCAGCUGAAUGACAAAUAGCUUCCCAAAAAUUACCCAGGAAGUGACAGAGUUCACCACACAAGAGAAAUGUAACAGAGCAUUUAACUAAGUGGUCAAGGAAGAUUCCUCGCAGAAAACUUGAAUAACCUGAAAAGUAAGAAAACGCUACAGGAUGCAGUCAAAUGACACAGUAAGACUACGCUUCAAAAAGCCACCUGAACAACUGAAGCAUGAAAAACUCAUUUUCAGGAUGCCAACAGAAUGCUUGAUUGCUGACUGAACGGCUGUCUAAUCUUCAUUUUCCUUGCUGUCACAAGAUAAAACACUUAUGAAUCUACAAACCACUGUCACCUAGAGGAAAAAGUGCAGUCAAUAGGAA